rfam:Nelumbo nucifera unplaced genomic scaffold scaffold00002, whole genome shotgun sequence
AAAUAGGUGCCACUAGGCACCACUUCAGCGUAACAGUGAAUAAACGG